CGCGGGGCGGAGCGAGCAGCGUGGCGGUCGCGCAGGUCCACCACUGCGCUACGUCAGGGCCUACGGACAAGAAAUUGGUGAAGGCGAGGGGUUUAAUGCCUAGAACAUUGCUGCAGUGAGGUCUCAGAGGAUAAAACCACAUCUAUCAAAUACUAUUUCCUUGGAUUAUGAACAAACAUCCUUUGAAUAAGGAAACCAAGACUCAACGUGGUUAAGUAACUUGUCCAGAAUCAUCCAAACAGUUCGUGGGCUUUAACACCAGUCUCUGGGUACUAAAGCUUAUGCUUUUCAUGGAGCAAUGCUGUGUCCCCUGGGGUGAAGACAAGAGUGACCCAAGACCCUCAAGUCUAACUGCCAUCACGUUGCACUCAGGAGAAUUUCCAGAGCAACUUGGGUACCCAGGAGCUGGCCAGGCAGAUGUGGGCAUUUUCUAAAGCUCUCCAUGUGUCUUCUGCCUUCAGCACAGGUGGUGCUUGGCUGUGAAUCAACUAUGGUCCAAUUGUUUCUUUGUUUGUUUAUUCAUUCAUCAACAGGUGUAUGUUAUUCUGACCAUUUAUGUGACUAUUAUAUGCCAGAAACUAUUCUGGGCACUAGAAGUUCAGCCAUAUGCAAAAUAGACUAAAAAAUAUAACCUUGCUCUAAUGGAACUUACAUUCUAAAUGGGGAACAUGGGCAGUAAGUGAAUGAACAAACAUGUCUGUUUAUUUACUUAUUUAAUGUUGAGGAGUAAUAAGGUCUUUGAAGAAAAAUAAAAUAGGGAAGAGGAACCUGGAGG